AUUGUACGCUGGCGGCAGGCCUAACACAUGCAAGUCGAACGGUAACAGGAAACAGCUUGCUGUUUCGCUGACGAGUGGCGGACGGGUGAGUAAUGUCUGGGAAACUGCCUGAUGGAGGGGGAUAACUACUGGAAACGGUAGCUAAUACCGCAUAACGUCGCAAGACCAAAGAGGGGGACCCUCGGGCCUCUUGCCAUCGGAUGUGCCCAGAUGGGAUUAGCUUGUUGGUGGGGUAACGGCUCACCAAGGCGACGAUCCCUAGCUGGUCUGAGAGGAUGACCAGCCACACUGGAACUGAGACACGGUCCAGACUCCUACGGGAGGCAGCAGUGGGGAAUAUUGCACAAUGGGCGCAAGCCUGAUGCAGCCAUGCCGCGUGUAUGAAGAAGGCCUUCGGGUUGUAAAGUACUUUCAGCGGGGAGGAAGGGAGUAAAGUUAAUACCUUUGCUCAUUGACGUUACCCGCAGAAGAAGCACCGGCUAACUCCGUG
rnacentral:rRNA from 1 species